rnacentral:rRNA from 1 species
GAUAAACGCUGGCGGCGCACAUAAGACAUGCAAGUCGAACGAACUUAAUUGAGAGCUUGCUCUCAAAGCGGUUAGUGGCGGACUGGUGAGUAACACGUAAGCAACCUGCCUAUUAGAGGGGAAUAACAGCGAGAAAUCGUUGCUAAUACCGCAUAUGCUGUGAGUAUCGCAUGAUACAAGCAGGAAAGGAGCAAUCCGCUAAUAGAUGGGCUUGCGUCUGAUUAGUUAGUUGGUGGGGUAACGGCCUACCAAGACGAUGAUCAGUAGCCGGACUGAGAGGUUAAACGGCCACAUUGGGACUGAGAUACGGCCCAGACUCCUACGGGAGGCAGCAGUCGGGAAUAUUGCGCAAUGGAGGAAACUCUGACGCAGUGACGCCGCGUGCAGGAAGAAGGUUUUCGGAUUGUAAACUGCUUUAACAGGAAAGAAAAAAAUGACG